ensembl:lncRNA
AGGUGCACGCACCCACACUCAAACACACACACAAAACCUCAGCUCCUAAAAACUUUAUACAUCUAGUCCAAUUCCUUGCAUAAACAGUGCUGACGAAACCCUUCUUUUCUUAGGAGUGAGCCUCAGGUCCUUGCAAUCAGAAGAAACUGCCAAAUACUUAAGACAGUUCUGUUAGGAAAACACACACAACACUAGGAUACAGACAGAGCCAACUGUCAAAGCCUGGAUGUGCCAAAGUGAAUGUGAAGCAUCAAGAAAGCCACUGGAAGUUAUUGAAAGAUUGAAAUGGAAUAAGUGGAAUUUCAUUGCUUCCAGUUUUCAAAGAUUUUACAUCUUAGGAGAUUAGAGUUUGAUGUUUCCCUGUCCUGGGUCAGAGAUCCAGAGAAUCAACCAGAUUCCAAGCCUUCUAGGGUUGAAUGAGAUGGAAGGACAACCCUGGGGCAACAUGGUAAAUGAGCAUCCUGUCCCAGAGCAGAGAAGAGUGGGAGCACAUCAUGGCACUCUAAGAUGGUAAGCCUCUUUGAUUAAGACUCGUAUCAUGCAAAUACUCAAUUAAAAGAAAGUUUCUUCCAACCUUA